rnacentral:tRNA from 1 species
GCGGCGUAGCCAAAUGGCUAAGGCAGAGGUCUGCAAAACCUCCAUUUACCGGUUCGAGUCCGGUCGCCG